CAUUUGAAACCCUAAACUCAAAAAAAUACGCACACCAGAUCCAAAGUGCCAAAGUGCCUCAUUACCUCAUUUGAAACCCUAAACCCUUUAACUCCUUUGUCUCUCUCGUUUGUUCAACAGGUGACCGGAGCCAAAGUGUCGGCCGGUGCCGACUCCGACGAACCCGCACACCCACCUACCACACAUCUUCAUCACAUCCUCCUCUCUCAGCUCUAGAGAUCCUCCGGCGAAGCACAACAACCUGCAACCCCUCGACCUCCGACCACCUCGCUACGGCAGCGCGACGACGAACCGACGCAUCAGCGGAUGCGAGAUGAGGACGAAGUGAUCACCUUGUGGUCGUAUUUCAGGCAAGGGCUUGCCGGCGGUGACAUAUUUUUUCGUCCGCUCAGGGUCGAACGCAGGUGUUUGUUUCGAGCUCGGUCUACAUUGGGUGAGCACGAGAAACAAGUUCAGUUUAGAUGACGGUUCGGGGUCGCGAUUUAUGACGUUAGUGGAGGUGUUUAAGGUGUGGCUCGAGUUAGGGCAAUCUCGGUUCAGGUUCAGUUCAGUCAAAACGAGUUGGGGCAAUCUCGGUUCAAGCUUCGGAUGAAUAUGGAAUUUUAUUUUCUUUAUAUUUGUAGAUUUUAUACAUUUUUUGUUUGUAAAUUUGUAUAAAUUUAUGAAUAAUGUUAUUGAAUUUUUAUA